CCCCAUCAGCCAUUCAAAUUUAAAAAAUAAUCAAUCGGUUGAGCACUAUUAUAGGCGGAAAUACUAAAUUUAUGACUCCAACAGCAACGACAAUAAGCACCCAAUUAAGUGGGGAAAUCUUCUCAUAGAAAGAUCAGUCCCUUCUAAAUUCCAAAACCUCGAUAGAUACAUGCGUUAUUUAAUAAUAACACUAGUCGUAAUAGACUAAUAAUACUGAUUGAGAGAACAGCCCUUCAAAUCAGAAUUAGAUGGCGUCUUUCACCCCUUCGCCCCUGUUUCCCAUCUCGCAGAACAGGGGAAGGAGUGCAAUAUUUGGCAAUGAAUGUACAGCGCAAACGGCGAGCAGGUCCUCAGUGGCUUCGUUGUUCUCAGUCAACGCAUCAGCAACGAAGGAAGGCAGGGGAGAACCAGUGACAAGGUUGGGGACGGCCUCCACCAGGCUUCCAGACGGCAAAUGACUCGCAAUUAAAGAUUCCGGAUGGUCGACGACCGUAUCCUCGGCAGCUUCGAGGCUUUCAACCAGGGACAGGUUGCACAUAAAGAGAGGCUCUGGACGGCCGGUGACGAGGUCGUGGACGGGUGCAGGAGUCCCCGCCGGCUGGAGGCGAGAGGGGGGAGGGGCGAGAAAGAGCGCGGCGAUGGAUGCUGCCGCGACCACAUGUGUCAAUCGCUGAGCGUAGACCGGCCGCAGAGGCACANN
rnacentral:lncRNA from 1 species